rnacentral:ncRNA from 1 species
GAUAAAUUUUUUAUGGUUUUAAAAAUUUAUUUUGUAUUUAUUUUACAUAUAAAUUUUAGUGUUAAAUUUUAAUUAUUUUAAUAAUAGUUAAUUGUAUAUUUAUAGUAAUUAAAAUUAAAAAUUUAAGAAAUUAAGAUUUAGUAAUAUUAAAAUUAAUAACUAAUUUUGUGCCAGCAGUUGCGGUUAAACAAAAGUUAAAUUAAAUUAUUUCAGUGUAUAAUUAAUAAAUAAAAAUUAAAAUAAAUAUUAAAUUAUUAAGUGAAAUUUUAAUUUAAUUAAAAUUUAUUUAAAAAUUAUGAUUUAAUAAAUUUUAAUAUAAACUAGGAUUAGAUACCCUAUUAUUAAAAAUUUAAUUUAAAGUACUAAAAUAGUAAAUAUAUAUUAUUAAAACUUAAAUAAUAUGGCGGUAUUUUAGUUCAUUUAGAGGAAUCUGUCUAGUAAUUGAUAAUCCACGAAUAAAUUCACUUAAUUUAUUAUUUUGUAUAUCAUUGUUAAAAAAAUAUUUUUUAAUAAAAAUAAUAUUUAAAAAUUUUUAAUGUAAAUUAAUUCAGAUCAAGAUGCAGAUUAUAUUUAAGUUUAAGAUGGAUUACAAUAAAAUUAUUUAAACGAAAAGAAUUUUGAAAAAUUUAAUUGAAGGUGGAUUUAACUGUAAUUUUAAUUAAUUUAUUAAAAUGAUUUAAUAUUAAAAUAUGUACAUAUUGCCCGUCACUUUCAUUUAAAAAUUGAAAUAAGUCGUAACAAAGUAGAGGUACUGGAAAGUGUUUCUAGAAUGAA